UACGAGUGCCCCAAGCGUUAUCCGGAAUCAUUGGGCGUAAAGGGUGUGUAGGCGGUUGUGUUAGUCUCCUGUCAAAUUUCCCGGCUUAACCGGGAACCUGCAGGGGAAACGGCACAACUAGAGGAUGCGAGGGGUGAAUGGAACUCAUGGAGUAGGGGUGAAAUCCGUUGAUAUCAUGGGGAACACCGAAAGCGAAGGCAAUUCACUGGCGCAUUCCUGACGCUGAGACACGAAAGCGUGGGUAGCGAACGGG
rnacentral:misc_RNA from 1 species